rnacentral:rRNA from 1 species
ACAGCAGUAGCCGCGGGAAUACAGAGGGUGCGAGCGUUAAUCGGAUUUACUGGGCGUAAAGCGUGCGUAGGCGGCUUUUUAAGUCGGAUGUGAAAUCCCUGAGCUUAACUUAGGAAUUGCAUUCGAUACUGGGAAGCUAGAGUAUGGGAGAGGAUGGUAGAAUUCCAGGUGUAGCGGUGAAAUGCGUAGAGAUCUGGAGGAAUACCGAUGGCGUAGGCAGCCAUCUGGCCUAAUACUGACGCUGAGGUACGAAAGCAUGGGGAGCAAACAGGAUUAGAUACCCCCGUAGUCCCUGUCUCUUAUAC